rnacentral:lncRNA from 1 species
GUUUAAUUUUUCUUUGUUUACUCAUUUCUUUCUUAUCUCCACCACAACACCACCAUCACUGCAGUUGAAAAUGGAAGUUUCUGUCAGUCUCUCUCCCUCUCUUUGUCUCUCAUCUCAAUGGAACCGGUUUUUUGGCAUUUUUUAGCCGGUUUUAUGGGCGGUCCGACCGGUUUUUUGGCGGAAUUUCCCGGUUCAUAACAACUGACCCGGUUUUUUGAGCUAUUCCGGG